rnacentral:sRNA from 1 species
CAUAAUUUGGACUGGUUAGUUGAUCUCACAUUCGCCUAGAACAGAAUUAAUGGGAUGACCACUUUACUCUCUAAAAGGACUUCUGGCAGGCAAGAGUGAUAUUGGAGUA